rnacentral:lncRNA from 1 species
GGGGUGGAAUGGGGAAAGUGAAAGGCAAAAGAAAAGAAAAAGAAAAGCAUUGAGUUCAAAAGAUGAAAAAGAAAAAUGCAUGUGAAAAAGAAAAGAAAAGAAGAAAAUAGUUUAUGCAUGUUAAAAAGAACUCAAUGUAAAGGGAAAAGUUGGGAAUGAGUGAGAUUGGUUAAAAAGAGAGUGUGCUUGAACUUUGAAUAAUGAUUUAAAUUCUCUUAACUCAAGGAUUUUGUAUUUCAGAAAAAACCAGUUUUCUUGUUAGCCCAACCACAAUACAAGCCUUGGAAAAAGUCCUUGUGAUGACAUAUGCAUGUGACAGAUGUUGAUUGUCUUAGAUGAAUUACAAUAUUGUUUUAUGUGACAUGUGAACAGUAGAGAGUAGAGUGACCUCCUAAACACUUGAGUGAUUGAGUGAAACACUUGCUUGGUGAGAAUUGUUAAAACCAUGUUUAUAUC